rnacentral:rRNA from 1 species
CAAAUGAAGUUGACGGGGCCCGGCACAAGCGGAGGAGCAUGUGGUUUAAUUCGAUGAUACGCGAGGAACCUUACCUGGGCUCGAACGUAAGAUGACUGUAGGUGAAAGCUUACAUCUCUUCGGAGCAUUUUACGAGGUGCUGCAUGGUUGUCGUCAGCUCGUGCCGUGAGGUGUCGGGUUAAGUCCCAUAACGAGCGCAACCCCUACCUUUAGUUGCCAUCAGGUUAAGCUGGGGACUCUAAAGGAACUGCCUACGCAAGUAGUGAGGAAGGCGGGGAUGACGUCAAAUCAGCACGGCCCUUACGUCCAGGGCUACACACGUGCUACAAUGGCCGAUACAGAGGGCAGCUACCUGGUGACAGGAUGCAAAUCUCCAAAGUCGGUCUCAGUUCGGAUCGGAGUCUGCAACCCGACUCCGUGAAGUUGGAUUCGCUAGUAAUCGCGCAUCAGCCAUGGCGCGGUGAAUACGUUCCCGGGCCUU